rnacentral:other from 1 species
GUUUUCCGGGGCUGUAGUGCCCCGGCCUCAUUGAA